AUUGAACGCUGGCGGCAGGCCUAACACAUGCAAGUCGGACGAGUGGCGGACGUGUGAGUAAUGUCUGUGACACUGCCCGAUGGAGUGGGAUAACUACUGGAAACGGUAGCUAAUACCGCAUUCGAUGGGAUGGGCCCAGAUGGGAUUAGCUAGUAGGUGGGGUAACGGCUCACCUAGGCGACGAUCCCUAGCUGGUCUGAGAGGAUGAUCAGCCACACUGGAACUGAGACACGGUCCAGACUCCUACGGGAGGCAGCAGUGGGGAAUAUUGCACAAUGGGCGCAAGCCUGAUGCAGUCAUGCCGCGUGUAUGAAGAAGGCCUCCGGGUUGUAAAGUACUUUCAGCGAGGAGGCGUUACCCGCAGAAGAAGCACCGGCUAACUCCGUGCCAGCAGCCGCGGUAAUAC
rnacentral:rRNA from 1 species